rnacentral:rRNA from 1 species
AGUGGAGUGAAAAAGAACCUGAAACCGUGUACGUACAAGCAGUGGGAGCACCUUCGGGUGUGACUGCGUACCUUUUGUAUAAUGGGUCAGCGACUUAUAUUCUGUAGCAAGGUUAACCGUAUAGGGGAGCCGCAGGGAAACCGAGUCUUAACUUGGCGUUAAGUUGCAGGGUAUAGACCCGAAACCCGGUGAUCUAGCCAUGGGCAGGUUGAAGGUUGGGUAACACUAACUGGAGGACCGAACCGACUAAUGUUGAAAAAUUAGCGGAUGACUUGUGGCUGGGGGUGAAAGGCCAAUCAAACCGGGAGAUAGCUGGUUCUCCCCGAAAGCUAUUUAGGUAGCGCCUCGUGAACUCAUCUUCGGGGGUAGAGCACUGUUUCGGCUAGGGGGUCAUCCCGACUUACCAACCCGAUGCAAACUACGAAUACCGAAGAAUGUUAUCACGGGAGACACACGGCGGGUGCUAACGUCCGUCGUGAAGAGGGAAACAACCCAGACCGCCAGCUAAGGUCCCAAAGUCAUGGUUAAGUGGGAAACGAUGUGGGAAGGCACAGACAGCCAGGAUGUUGGCUUAGAAGCAGCCAUCAUUUAAAGAAAGCGUAAUAGCUCACUGGUCGAGUCGGCCUGCGCGGAAGAUGUAACGGGGCUAAACCAUGCACCGAAGCUGCGGCAGCGACACUAUGUGUUGUUGGGUAGGGGAGCGUUCUGUAAGCCUGCGAAGGUGACCUGUGAGGGUUGCUGGAGGUAUCAGAAGUGCGAAUGCUGACAUAAGUAACGAUAAAGCGGGUGAAAAGCCCGCUCGCCGGAAGACCAAGGGUUCCUGUCCAACGUUAAUCGGGGCAGGGUGAGUCGACCCCUAAGGCGAGGCCGAAAGGCGUAGUCGAUGGGAAACAGGUUAAUAUUCCUGUACUUGGUGUUACUGCGAAGGGGGGACGGAGAAGGCUAUGUUAGCCGGGCGACGGUUGUCCCGGUUUAAGCAUGUAGGCUGGUUAUCCAGGCAAAUCCGGAUAAUCAAGGCUGAGGUGUGAUGACGAGGCACUACGGUGCUGAAGUAACAAAUGCCCUGCUUCCAGGAAAAGC